rnacentral:rRNA from 1 species
GGUAGCACAGAGAGCUUGCUCUCGGGUGACGAGUGGCGGACGGGUGAGUAAUGUCUGGGAAACUGCCUGAUGGAGGGGGAUAACUACUGGAAACGGUAGCUAAUACCGCAUAACGUCGCAAGACCAAAGAGGGGGACCUUCGGGCCUCUUGCCAUCAGAUGUGCCCAGAUGGGAUUAGCUAGUAGGUGGAGUAACGGCUCACCUAGGCGACGAUCCCUAGCUGGUCUGAGAGGAUGACCAGCCACACUGGAACUGAGACACGGUCCAGACUCCUACGGGAGGCAGCAGUGGGGAAUAUUGCACAAUGGGCGCAAGCCUGAUGCAGCCAUGCCGCGUGUAUGAAGAAGGCCUUCGGGUUGUAAAGUACUUUCAGCGGGGAGGAAGGUGUUGAGGUUAAUAACCUCAGCAAUUGACGUUACCCGCAGAAGAAGCACCGGCUAACUCCGUGCCAGCAGCCGCGGUAAUACGGAGGGUGCAAGCGUUAAUCGGAAUUACUGGGCGUAAAGCGCACGCAGGCGGUCUGUCAAGUCGGAUGUGAAAUCCCCGGGCUCAACCUGGGAACUGCAUUCGAAACUGGCAGGCUGGAGUCUUGUAGAGGGGGGUAGAAUUCCAGGUGUAGCGGUGAAAUGCG